CUGGUUGAUCCUGCCAGUAGUCAUAUGCUUGUCUCAAAGAUUAAGCCAUGCAUGUGUAAGUAUGAACUAAUUCAGACUGAGAAACUGCGAAUGGCUCAUUAAAUCAGUUAUAGUUUAUUUGAUGGUAUCUACUACUCGGAUAACCGUAGUAAUUCUAUAGCUAAUAUGUGCAACAAACCCCGACUUCUGGAAGGCACGCAUUUAUUAGAUAAAAGGUCAACGCAGGCUUUGCCUAUUGCUUUCAUGAUUCAUGAUAACUCGUCGGAUCGCACGGCCCUUAUGCCGGCGACGCAUCAUUCAAAUUUCUGCCCUAUCAACUUUCGAUGGUACGAUAGUGGCCUACCAUGGUGGUCACGAGUGACGGAGAAUUAGGGUUCGAUUCCGGAGAGGGAGCUUGAGAAACGGCUACCACAUCCAGGGAAGGCAGCAGGCGUGCAAAUUACCCAAUCCUGACACUGGGAGGUAGUGACAAUAAAUAACAAUACCGGGCUCAUUGAGUCUGGUAAUUGGAAUGAGUACAAUCUAAAUCCUUUAAAUAGAGGAUCCAUUGGAGGGCAAGUCCGAUGCCAGCAGCCGCGGUAAUUCCAGCUCCAAUAGCGUAUAUU
rnacentral:ncRNA from 1 species